rnacentral:rRNA from 1 species
AGGACGAACGCUGGCGGCGUGCUUAACACAUGCAAGUCGAACGGAAAGGCCCUUCGGGGUACUCGAGUGGCGAACGGGUGAGUAACACGUGGGUGAUCUGCCCUGCACUCUGGGAUAAGCCUGGGAAACUGGGUCUAAUACCGGAUAUGAUCAUGCGCCUCAUGGUGUGUGGUGGAAAGCUUUUGCGGUGUGGGAUGGGCCCGCGGCCUAUCAGCUUGUUGGUGGGGUAAUGGCCUACCAAGGCGACGACGGGUAGCCGGCCUGAGAGGGUGACCGGCCACACUGGGACUGAGAUACGGCCCAGACUCCUACGGGAGGCAGCAGUGGGAAUAUUGCACAAUGGGCGCAAGCCUGAUGCAGCGACGCCGCGUGGGGAUGACGGCCUUCGGGUUGUAAACCUCUUUCAGUACCGACGAAGCGUAAGUGACGGUAGGUACAGAAGAAGCACCGACCAACUACGUG